ensembl:lncRNA
UUUUUUUUUUUUUUUUCCCUGCAGCAAAAUCAAAGCCAGACUCAGCCUCAAAUGAUUAAAGGUUAACUAAGACUUCAAACAAGCUCACGCGAUGGGUCGUUCUCCCAAGAAUGACGGGACAUAAACUGGGCUUGGCUUUAGUAUCUGCCUUUGAUUAGGGCCCUGUCAGAGGGCGAUGAGCAGGAAAAGAGCCUCUGGCACAGAUGGGAGAUGUGCUCUGGAAAUUCUUCCAAAAGAAAAAUAUUGCUGCACCUGUUCGGGGCGAAAUCCUGCCCCGGGGAAAGCAUCCCGAGUUCGGGGUGCAGUGGGGUUUAGAACAAGACUCCGCUGAAAUGCGGUUCUGUUCAGCAAGCUGAGCUGGCUCGGGAUGUGAGGAGGCAAACGCAGCCCAGGCUGGAGCAGCUCCAGAGCGCUUGGACAGCACCCCGAGGCACCACGUGGGAUUUUGGGGUGUCUGGAUCAACCACCCCUUCCAGCUCAGGGCUCCACGAGUCUCUGAGGCUGAUUCUCCUCGAGGAAUUGGCCUCUGGACACCAGGAGCAGCCAAGGGAGCAGCACCAGCCUGCACUGGGAAGCAGCGGCUGCUCCAGGCACCACCGCCUCUCACUGCUCCCCUCCCUCCUGCAGCCCAGUCCCAGCAGCAUUUUAAUUAAAAGAGGUGGCUCCGUGCACCUUUUUCCUAUUGAUCUGCAGUCAACAAGAGCCCAUAAACCAAGAAAUUAAAGCCAUAAUUUACAGCCCUUGGCCGGGCCGCCUGCGAGCUCUGGUUGCCACAUUGCACACGAUGGUUUCCUGCCUCUGCCAGGACAUAAACUCGAUACAACAGCUCCAAAAAGGAGAAAAAACCCCACCACUAACCCCCCCAGCCUGAGAAGGCUUCCUGCAGCAGCCAGCUCCGAGGAUGGCUUUCAGCUCGCUGCGUCUGAUCUGCGGCCAAGCCGUGGUUCCAAUCAGCGAGCUGGAGAUGAAAGCGCAGCCCUGGUCCUGCCCAGGUGUGCCGCUGGCACCCCCCGCUCCCGGGGCACGGCUCCAGCAUGUUCAAGCAAUAAAAGCCAAAUGAGGAACAUGUGCCUAAAACCAGCGGCUGGUUUCACCGCUCUCUAUAAAUGAGUUUUCCCAGGGCAGGGUUUGGGGUUUCUUUAACACGAGCGUGACAGGGAUUCCAGCACUUCCAUCCCUGCGAGAGGCUGGGAAAAAAAGUGGAGCAGCUCUCCUGCAAAGAGCCUCUUACUUACAGUUGUGAGGGCUCAAAGAGCUGACUGAAACCUCCAAAUGACAACAAUUCCUCCCAGGCGAGGUGCCAGCGUUGAGCAAACAAUUUGUCGGGAAUGUUAAGUGCAGGGAAGCCGCGGACUUGUCGUGGAGCCCGGUGGUGUUUCCAAGCGGGGCGCGGCAGAGGGAUCCCACAAACCACGCCGGGGAGGCAGGGCUGGGGUAAAAGAUCCUUUUCUGUGGCUUCUCGAGCAGCCUGACGUGGUUGCUGCCUGGCAGAGAGCGCAGAACCAGCUGCUGCUCCUGCAUUCCAGGGCAGAUUCCAGAGCCCAGGUGCUCCGAGGGCUAUUUUUCAAACACAUAUAAAUAAAUAAUAUAUGUUCCUUUUCUGGGUUAAGUAAAGGUGGCCCAUCCACCUGGGACAAGUCCAGUAAUUUGGUCCAAUUCGGUUUUAAAUUGACGUGUUAUGAAAUAAUAGGAAUCUGUCCCUACUCACUAUCAGCUACCUAACUGGCUUGUGGCUGCCCUACGUCCCUAGCUAUCAUCUACUUUAUUUAUUAAAAAAUACAAGAUAGUAAAAAAGAACAUUAUAUAACAAUACAAAAAUAACAUAGCAAAAAAACAAAAAAAAACCCCAAAUAAAACACCAAAACAAAACCACAAACGCAAUACAAAAAGAAAGAAUCCAGGGGCAGCCACAGCUGGGCUGGGAAUUCCAUCCCAGCCCCUGCCCACCCUCCCAGGGAGCAAUUCCCAGUUCCCAGUAUCCCAGCCCUGCCCUCUGGCACUGGGAGCCAUCCCCGUGUCCUGGCACUCAGAGCUCCAGGCUUUGCCCUCGGAGGCAUCCAGCUGGCACAGGCAAGGUGCCACCUUCGUGCAGCCUAAGGACAAUCCCAGAGCAGCUUUGUAACCUGCCCCGGGUGUCAUCAGGAACACGAGGCUCCUGCCCGAGCUGGGAACAGGGCAGAUAAGCACAUUCCUGGGGAGUGUUUUGGGGCAGAGCUGAGCCCUGCCCUGCCCUGCUGCGGUUCCUGACUCGCUGCAGGGCAGCCCUGGCACUCAGAGCCAGCCCUGGCACUCAGGGAGGGCAGCUGGAGAGCCCCAGGGCACAGAGCAGCUCUGGCAGAGCCUGCAGGCAGCAGUGGGGCAGUUCCUGGCAGUGCAAUGCCCCUGGAAGCGCCACUCUGGGAACGUGCAGCUUCCAGAGAUCCUCCUCCCCAGAGCCCAGCAGGCACUGCUGGAACAGCAGCUGUGCCAGGCCAGGUCUGCCCCCUCUAGUUUGGAUCUUUCCUAGGGUACCACAGAGCCCUCCUGCCCCCUGGGCCUUUCCUAGCCCCAAAAAUGUUCUGGAGAAAUGAACACCUGAAUACCCCAAACCCACAGAGAAACGUCAAAGGCGACUGGGGAAGGUUUUGUUCCCUCCCAGGAUCCCAUCCAACCCUGUCCUCCAGCAGUGGGACCCCAUGCUGUGUCCUUGCCCCACGCUGGUUGUGGAUUCCCAGUGGGUGUGGAUUUAUUUCCCUGUGGAUGCACUCCCAGGGCAGCUCCAGAGCCCUGUCCCUGCAUCCUCU